rnacentral:rRNA from 1 species
GAUGAACGCUGGCGGCGUGCCUAAUACAUGCAAGUCGAGCGAACAGACGAGGAGCUUGCUCCUCUGACGUUAGCGGCGGACGGGUGAGUAACACGUGGAUAACCGACCUAUAAGACUGGGAUAACUUCGGGAAACCGGAGCUAAUACCGGAUAAUAUAUUGAACCGCAUGGUUCAAUAGUGAAAGACGGUUUUGCUGUCACUUAUAGAUGGAUCCGCGCCGCAUUAGCUAGUUGGUAAGGUAACGGCUUACCAAGGCAACGAUGCGUAGCCGACCUGAGAGGGUGACCGGCCACACUGGAACUGAGACACGGCCCAGACUCCUACGGGAGGCAGCAGUAGGGAAUCUUCCGCAAUGGGCGAAAGCCUGACGGAGCAACGCCGCGUGAGUGAUGAAGGUCUUCGGAUCGUAAACCUCUGUUAUUAGGGAAGAACAAAUGUGUAAGUAACUAUGCACGUCUUGACGGUACCUAAUCAGAAAGCCACGGCUAACUACGUG